rnacentral:rRNA from 1 species
AUCGCCUCUUGUAACACAAAUAUAAGAGGUCCCGCCUGCCCUGUGACUGUUUAAGUUUAACGGCCGCGGUAUUUUGACCGUGCAAAGGUAGCGCAACCACUUGUCUUUUAAAUAGAGACCUGUAUGAAUGGCAUCACGAGGGCUAAACUGUCUCCUUUUCCCAGUCAAUGAAAUUGAUCUCCCCGUGAAGAAGCGGGGAUAAGCUUAUAAGACGAGAAGACCCUGUGGAGCUUUAAACAAGUAACGGACCAUGUUAAACACAUUUAAUAAGUGAAACAAAAUGGACACCUCUUACAGUUUUUGGUUGGGGCGACCGCGGGGUAACAAAAAACCCCCACGUGGAACGGGGACACCUCCCCUAGAACUACGAGCAACCUCUCUAAUUAACGGAAUAUCCGACCAAUAAUGAUCCGGUACGCCGAUCAACGAACCGAGUUACCCCAGGGAUAACAGCGCAAUCCCCUUCUAGAGACCCUAUCGCCAAGGGGGUUUACGACCUCGAUGUUGGAUCAGGACAUCCUAAUGGUGCAGCCGCUAUUAAGGGUUCGUUUGUUCAACGAUUAAAGUC